rnacentral:lncRNA from 1 species
UUUUUUUUUUUUUGGACGAAAAUUAUUGUUUCUAAUUUAAAUUAACAAAACUCUCAUUACAUGAUCCAUGAAAUUCAUAAAACCUGAAACUAGCAUUUGCAUCCCGAACGAGAUUCUUGCUUUUAUUGUACAUCGUAUUCUAGCGGUGGGGAAAUGCCGUAAAGAAGAAAGAGAGGUUAGGAGGUUUUGAUCAGCAGGAUAAGAUUCUCAUCACAAAGCGUUCCAAUAUCAAUUUCUUGAGAUGCCAAAAUCAUCUGAUUGUUUUCACAAAAGGACUCAAUAACGAUGCUCCACCUAAAUUACAGCUCCUCCUUUCUAGAUUCUGGUUCUGCAACUGCAGCUCGAUUCUUCCGAAUAAAAUCAAUCAUAUCUUCCUUCGUUCUAUUUCCUUCGUAUGGCAAUA